rnacentral:lncRNA from 1 species
CUCGCCUAGGCAUCUCAGAAGUACCCCUUCAAAAGAUCGCCGGUAGAGUGUCCCUUUGUAAUAGAGGAAGUGAUGUGCUCGUCAACGUACUUCAGAGUGGUGUUUCGGAUCAUCUGGAAGCAUUCCAUGCUCCAAGUAGUUGAUCAGAGGCUGUCUCCAUUCUUCAACGUUGACCGGAAGUAUUGAAAUAACGUUUGUAUCACUUAGUACUAUUUCAGUGACAAGUGGGAUUACCCAUCUUUGGCAGACUGGCACGUUUGUA